rnacentral:rRNA from 1 species
GACGAACGCUGGCGGCGUGCUUAACACAUGCAAGUCGAACGGAAAGGCCCUGCUUUUGUGGGGUGCUCGAGUGGCGAACGGGUGAGUAACACGUGAGUAACCUGCCCUUGACUUUGGGAUAACUUCAGGAAACUGGGGCUAAUACCGGAUAGGAGCUCCUGCUGCAUGGUGGGGGUUGGAAAGUUUCGGCGGUUGGGGAUGGACUCGCGGCUUAUCAGCUUGUUGGUGGGGUAGUGGCUUACCAAGGCUUUGACGGGUAGCCGGCCUGGGAGGGUGACCGGCCACAUUGGGACUGAGAUACGGCCCAGACUCCUACGGGAGGCAGCGGUGGGGAAUAUUACACAAUGGGCGGAAGCCUGAUGCAGCAACGCCGCGUGCGGGAUGACGGCCUUCGGGUUGUAAACCGCUUUCGCCUGUGACGAAGCGUGAGUGACGGUAAUGGGUAAAGAAGCACCGGCUAACUACGUG